UACAGAGGGUGCGAGCGUUAAUCGGAAUUACUGGGCGUAAAGCGCGCGUAGGCGGCUUGUUAAGUCAAAUGUGAAAUCCCCGAGCUUAACUUGGGCAUUGCAUUCGAUACUGGCAAGCUAGAGUAUGGGAGAGGAAGGUAGAAUUCCAGGUGUAGCGGUGAAAUGCGUAGAGAUCUGGAGGAAUACCGAUGGCGAAGGCAGCCUUCUGGCCUAAUACUGACGCUGAGGUGCGAAAGCGUGGGGAGCAAACAGG
rnacentral:rRNA from 1 species